UUAAAUAAUUUUAUACAAAAAAAUCAUCCUUUAUUUCAAGGAUGAUUUUUUAAUUAAUCUAUAAUUAAUUUUUAAUUUG
rnacentral:sRNA from 1 species